rnacentral:lncRNA from 1 species
GGGUCAUCAUGGUCUGGAAAAUGAUUUUGAGUUUAUGUUACCAAUCUCUUUCAUGUUAGGACGAUUGCACAACCUUUUAUACUCGCUUAAUUCAUUUUAGAUGAAUGAUGAAUAUCGUAUGCAGGUAAUAUUUCCACAAUUGCACAACUAUUCCUAUCGACGAUUGCACAACUUUUUAUACCUGCUUAAUUCAUUUUAGAUGAAUGAUGAAUAUCGUAUGCAUGUAAUAUUUCCACAAUCGUACAACUAUUCCUAUUAUACAUAUGGUGUUUGUAUGGUCUGAAUACUUAACAUCUUAUAAUCU